AUGCAAGUCGAACGAGGCCUUCGGGUCUAGUGGCGAACGGCGGAGUAAUAUAUAAGCAACGUGCCUUGAAGACCGGGACAAACGCAGAAAUGUCAUGAAUACCGGAUGUGGCUGAGAGUCGGCAUCGACUUUCAAUUAAAUGGUUUUUCGCUUCAAGAGCGGCUUAUAGUGCAUCAGGUAGUUGGUGGGGUAAUGGCCUACCAAGCCAACGACGCAUAGGGGGUCUGAGAGGAUGAUCCCCCCGAGAGGGACUGAGACACGGCCCUCACACCUACGGGUGGCAGCAGUUGGGAAUCGUUGUCAAUGGGGGAAACCCUGAACACGCGACACCGCGUGGAGGAUGAAGGCCUUAGGGUUGUAAACUCCUUUUGCAUGGAAAGACUUAGGACGGUACCAUGCGAAUAAGCUCCGGCUAACUACGUGCCAGCAGCCGCGGUAAGACGUAGGGAGCAAGCGUUGUCCGGAUUUACUGGGCGUAAAGAGUUCGUAGGCGGUCUAUUAAGUGUGAAGUGAAAUCCCCAGCGCUCAACGCGGGAACUGCUUCGCAUACUGGCAGACUUGAGGAUUGGAGAGGUAACUGGAAUUCCUGGUGUAGCGGUGACAUGCAUUGAUAUCAGGAGGAACACCAAAGGCGAAGGCAGGUUACUGGCCAAUAUCUGACGCUGAGGAACGAAAGCGUGGGUAGCAAACAGAAUUAGAUACUCUGGUAGUCCACGCCCUAAACUAUGGAUACUAGACGUAAGAGGUAUCGACCCCUCUUGUGUCGCAGCUAACGCAUUAAGUAUCCCGCCUGGGGAGUACGGCCGCAAGGUUGAAACUCAAAUGAAUUGACGGGGACCCGCACAAGCGGUGGAGCAUGUGGAUUAAUUCGAUACUAACCGAAGAACCUUACCUAGGUUUGACAUCGAUGGCAAGACUCAGAGAUGAGUCCCUCUCCUCACAAGGGAGACCAGAAGACACUUGUUGCAUGGCUGUCGUCAGCUCGUGCCG
rnacentral:rRNA from 1 species